AUGCUGCUGAAAGUCAGUAGCCCAUUGGUUACUCUCGUCAAUCAUUACAUGGUGUACAACAGCGUUCUUAUGCCCCUCAUAUUGGAAGAUUAUUUUCUGGGCAUCCUGCCUAUGCCUUGGUUACCUUUGGGUUGUUGGAAAACUCAAGAUAAUGAAAGCUUCUGUUCUUUUGAGCGCAACAUGUGGAGCAAUCUGUCCCAGGUCCAUUAG